UUUGUGAGCGAAAUUUUUUAAGGGCGUCUGUGAAACUCUAGCUAUUCUCAUCAAUUCUAUUUCGCUCGGUCGCGAUUGAAACCUAUCGGAUGGUUUUCUGUGGGAAUUUUUUUUCUUUCUUAUUGAUCGAUUACAUGUAAUCAUCGAUCAAUGGAUUUUUAAAUGAUCAAUGGUAGAGUGAUUCCUUCUUUUAGCAAUGGAAGGACCCAUUGAAUUUGCAAAGCUAAAUAAACAGCCUAACCCAAAAUCUUUUACACCAGAUUUCUUUCAACUGAUUUUCGAAGAGAUCGAUUUUUACUUUAUAUGUAAAUCCAAUUUUAAUCAAAACGUUUUGGGCUCUCUAGGUUCGGUAUUGCAUUAUAUGAGUUUUCUGAUAUCUCUUCUUAGGUGUGGUGUUUCAAGUAUACUUGCCUAAUCCAUGCACAUUGAAAGGACACCUUAUGACGCAUUCUAGAUAUUUGAUGAAAUUACAAACAGAACUCUGAUAUAUAGUUAUAUAUUUCAUACCGUUGGAAACAAUAUCAGGAGAGAAAGAAUUCCGUUAAUGAAAGCCAUUAUAAGUGGGCCAGUCCAACUGGCUGGGUUCAUGUAGGGAUGGAUCCGGCUUUCGCUUAUGAAAAAAAAUUAGAUGAAAGGUAAAUCUGUGUUUAUCUUCUCUCCAUUUUUUUGUUAAAAUAUUCUACUCUGAUUAAAAAAUGAAAUGGUUGGUUAAUUGUUUUGUGGAACAUAUAGGGAUGUUUUCUAUCACAGGUAUAUGUGUUCAUACAGGUUCCGACAACAAAUUCUUCAUCGGAAUUUUGUGAAGUGGGUCUACUAUACAAGCAAAUGAGUUUGAUUAUGAAGACCGGUUCCUACAGGAGAAAUUAUUAGGGCAGUGCAGGGUACUAUAUAAAAAGUAAAAUUUUACAGGCAAAUAUUUCAGCAAUACGAAAGUGCAAAUGGCAAGCUGAACGCGACUGUUUAUAUUAGUGACUCAGUGAGUGAUUUGCUAUGCCUGCUUGAAGCUGAUACUGGGUCAAAGAUAAGAAGUAAGCAUGGUGUCAAUUUCACUCCUCUCCCUGGGAGCGUGAAUAAGCGGCAAGAAUUUGUCAAAAACAACUAAUCAUCUGGUUGGGAGGGUGUAUCUGGAGUUUGUUGGUUGGAUAGAUACGUACCAAACCAAAGAGCUCAUAAUGUUUCCUAUAAUUUGCCAAAAACAACUUUGGUCCGACUGUUGAGAUUGUUCGUCUUAACUAUGUUGGGUUACGUAAUAUUCAACUCUGGCCACUUAUUGCAAGUUUACUGGGGUUAUGUAAUUGGUGCCGGCUUAACAACUUUCAAUAUUGUGAUGCUAUUUUGUUAACCCUUUGCGUCAUUAGUAGCUUUUCAACCCAUUCUUGAGUGUCUUUACUUUUCUUAUUAGAUCCACAUUGAACGAAAAUCUUUAUUUUAGAAGAAUCUAAAUUUGUUGUUGUUAA